UACGUAGGUGGCAAGCGUUGUCCGGAUUUACUGGGCGUGAAGAGCGCGCAGGCGGUCGUUCAAGUCGCGUGUGAAAGCCCCCGGCUCAGCUGGGGAGGGUCACGCGAUACUGAUCGACUCGAAGGCAGGAGAGGGUAGUGGAAUUCCCGGUGUAGUGGUGAAAUGCGUAGAUAUCGGGAGGAACACCAGUGGCGAAGGCGACUACCUGGCCUGUUCUUGACGCUGAGGCGCGAAAGCUAGGGGAGCAAACGGG
rnacentral:rRNA from 1 species